ACAUCACGUUGAGAUACCGGUUCCCGGAAAAUCCCCGAAGUUAAGCAACGUCGAGCUUGGGCAGUACCGAAAUAGGUGACUGCUUGGAAAUACAAGGUGCUGUAAG